rnacentral:piRNA from 1 species
UUGUAAACAGACUGUAACUGCCAGAGCAGC